GUGGCGGACGGGUGAGUAACACGUGGGAACGUGCCCUUUGGUACGGAAUAACUCAGGGAAACUUGAGCUAAUACCGUAUGUGCCCUUCGGGGGAAAGAUUUAUCGCCAUUGGAGCGGCCCGCGUCUGAUUAGCUAGUUGGUGAGGUAACGGCUCACCGAGGCGACGAUCAGUAGCUGGUCUGAGAGGAUGACCAGCCACAUUGGGACUGAGACACGGCCCAAACUCCUACGGGAGGCAGCAGUGGGGAAUCUUGCGCAAUGGGCGAAAGCCUGACGCAGCCAUGCCGCGUGGAUGAUGAAGGUCUUAGGAUUGUAAAAUCCUUUCACCGGUGAAGAUAAUGACUGUAGCCGGAGAAGAAGCCCCGGCUAACUUCGUGCCAGCAGCCGCGGUAAUACGAAGGGGGCUAGCGUUGCUCGGAAUUACUGGGCGUAAAGGGCGCGUAGGCGGACAUUUAAGUCAGGGGUGAAAUCCCGGGGCUCAACCUCGGAACUGCCUUUGAUACUGGGUGUCUUGAGUGUGAUAGAGGUAUGUGGAACUCCGAGUGUAGAGGUGAAAUUCGUAGAUAUUCGGAAGAACACCAGUGGCGAAGGCGACAUACUGGAUCAUUACUGACGCUGAGGCUCGAAAGCGUGGGGAGCAAACAGGAUUAGAUACCCUGGUAGUCCAC
rnacentral:rRNA from 1 species